UUUUUUUUUUUUUAUUUUAGGGCUGCACCUGCAGCAUAUGGAGGUUCCCAGACUAGGGGUCAAAUUGAAGCUACAACUGCCAGCCUACACCACAGCUCACAGCAACACCAGAUCCUUAACCCACUGAGAGAAGCCAGGGAUCAAACCCACAUCCUCAUGGAUACUAGUUGGAUUUGUUUCUGCUGCGCCAUGAUGGAAACUCCAAGAUGUGAAAUUUCUAAAGGGCUCUCCAAGAAGCAAAAUCCAUGAAGGCAUCUUCUUGGAAAAAUUCCCUAUGUAAGAAUCCUGUCAUCUGCUUAAAAGGAAACCACUGCACAGACUGUGACCCUAUGACCAUUCAAAAGCAUGCUAACCAAGCACUAAAAACUUCCAUCCUUUAAUUUCCUUUUCGGCAGUUUCUUUUGCCUGUCACAGUGGUUUCCAGCAGUGGGGGGGUGAGUGCUGAUUUUUGCCUCUACCCCGGGGGCAUUUGGCAGUAUCUGGAGACAUCCUGACUGUCGUGAUGUCCAGGGGCAAAGGGGGACGCUAUGGCUGGGGCCAGGGGAUGUCACUGACUUCCCACACCGCCCAGAUCAGCCCUCACCACAAAAGAUGAUCCAGCCCAAGAGGUCAGUGAUCCUGAGGUUGGAACUCUGGCGCAUCCUAAGAGGGGGCUCCUGGUCACUUCCACAGGGUCCAUCGCAUGGGUGACCUGAUUCAAGUAAGGGUCUCAGAAAGAAUCUUUUGGAGAGGUGACCUGUGAUCCGCUUUGCUUCUCAAAUUCACCUCCUCCUCCCUGAACUCCUGCAUGCUACGAUGCACCUGACACAGGUCAGCCCGAACAAGCACACGGCUGUCUGUAGGAUGACAGCUGCCUUGGCCUUGAGACCCCACCUCCCAUCCCGUCUCUUCUAGGGCAGCGCAGGUUUAUUCACAGAGGCAAGCACAGAGGAGGGGUUCACUAAUUGCUUGGUGACUGAUGUGCAUGCAGGUGAAGCCUGCUUCUGCCUUAAUUGCCAACAUGUACCCCAAGAUGGGUAAGGCAGUACCCACGUGUCCCACCUUUCCAGCGAGUGUAAGAACUCCGUCAUGCAGGUUCUGAACAUUGAGUCGGCCACGUUCAAGGCUCCACACACCACCCCGAGCAUGAUAUCUGGCUUCUCGGCCUAGGAAAGACUCUGCACAUCAGUAUCCACAGUAACCAAAGCCAGACAGGGGCUCCAGGAUCCCGAGGGGAGACGCAAGCUGCUCCCCACCUGCACUUUCUCGGCGAUGAGGUUAUCCAGCCAGCCGGUGUCAAUGUCAUUGUUCUGGAAGCUCUCCGUCUCCAGGAGGUUGGUAAGAUAUUCCACCGUGGUCCUGAAGUCGCCCCGGAUGGACAAUUCCUUCAAAGCCACCACCAUGUUCCUUGAGGGGAGGGGACACAGGUUGUUUUCCCAAUUAACAUACAUGUCGCCAGCGUUCCAAUGCAGUUCCCAGUGAGCCAGGACAGCACAGGAGAUAAGAGAGGGCCCUGGUCAAACAGCCUAGCAAUCUCACAGCAUUGACUGGUCCAGCAAAUCUUAAGCCAGUGACUUAACUGCCCGGGCCUCAGUUUCCUCAUCUGGAGAAUGGGGAAAUAACUGCCUUCACAGGUGCUCGGGGAUUAAAAUGUAACAAUCCAUAUAAAACACAUGGCUACCGAUCAAGAAGCGUUAGCCUAUCAUGAAGUAAUUAAUUUUUAAUUAAUUAUUAAAUUAUCAAUAAUUUAAUAAUUAAUUAAAAUACUAAGUAAUUAUUAUUUUUUCUUCUUUUUAGGGCCACACCUGCGGCAUAUGGAGGUACAGGAUGUGGGUGUGAACUGUAUUAUUCUUGCAACUUUUCUGAAAACUUUCAAACUGAAAGAAAGAAACAAAAUAUUAAAACAGAAUAGGAAUUCCCAUCGUGGCGCAGUGGUUAAUGAAUCCGACUAGGAACCCUGAGGUUGCAGGUUCAAUCUCUGGCCUCCAUCAGUGGGUUAAAGAUCUGGCAUUGCUGUGAGCUGUGGUGUAGGUCGCAGACAUGGCUCAGAUCCCACAUUGCCAUGGCUCUGGCGAAGGCCGGCAGCAACAGCUCUGAUUAGACCCCUAGCCUGGGAACCUCCAUGUGCCACAGGUGGGGCCGGCACAAUAUUGUGAAAGUAUUUAAUGCCACCAAACUAUACACUUAAAAUGGUCAAAAUGAUAAAUUUUAUGUCAUGUAUAUUUUCCUACAGUAAAAAAUAGUUCAAAAAAAGACAGAAUAAAAAUUUGGGGAGAAUUUUAAAGAAAUUUAAUAUUAAAUUCUAACUCAAAACUAAUUUUCAUCAAAUUUAAUUUUCAUUAAUUUAAAUGUAAUCAAAAUUUAAAUUUUAAAAGAAACUUUUAAGAAAGAAAAGGGAGAAAGGGAGGAGACAUUAAUUUUUAAAAUGUAAGCAGUUCCAGUAAUGCAAGAAUUUCUUUUUGGGGGCUGGAGGGAGUAAAGGAGAAAAGAAGAGUUUUACUGCUUUGCCAGGCAAAGGGGGACACAAGGGGCUCGUGCCUUCAACAACUGCGUGUCCCUCAAGAGUUUCUAACUUUGGGUGACAUAUUCUUAGUGGGAGUGAUAUUGCUCCUAAGGGGCAAACAUUUGCUCUUGGGGUGAAAAAAACCUUACACUCUCUACAUAUAAGCAGACCUUGGAGAUACUAGGGGUUCAGUUCUGAACCACCACGAUAAAGGGAAUACUGCAAUAAAGAGAGUCACACAAAUUUUUUGGAUUCCCAGUGCAUAUAAAAGUUACAUUUACACUAUACUGUGGUCUAUGAAGUGCAAUAGCAUUAUGUCUAAAGGAACAGUGUAUGUACCUUAAUUAAAAAUUACAUUAUACUAAAAAAUGCUAAUCAUCACCUGAGCCUUCAGAGAAUCAAUGUUUUUACUGGUGGAGGAUUCGAAAUAUUAUAAGAAUUAUCAAAAUGUGACAUGGACAUGAAAUAAGCAUACGCUGCUGGGAAAAUGGCACCAUUAGACUUGCUUAAUGCAGCAAUUUUUAAAAAAUGCAAUAAAGAGAAGUGCAAUAAAACAAGAUAGGCCUGUAUAAAGCACAGCCAGAUUUAUGGUACCCAGAUAAAUAGUGCACCUGUGAUACUAACAUUUCAUGUGCAACAGCAUGGAUGUGCCUAGAGACUGCCCUACAAAGUGAAGUAAGCCAGACAAAGGCAAAUAUCAUUAUGAUGUUGCUUACAUGUGGCAUCUAAAAAAAGGAUACAAAUGACCUUAUUUACAAAACGGAAAUAGACUCACAAACAAAGAAAACAAAUUUAUAGUCAGCAAAGGUGAAGAGGUAUAAAUUAGGAGAUUGGGAUUGAAAUAUACCUACUACUAUAUAUAAAAUAUAUAAUCAACAAGGACCUACUGUAUAGCAUAGGGAAUGAUAUUCAAUAUCUUGUAAUAACCUAUAAUGAAAGGAAAUGUAAAAAAUAUGUACAUCUACAUAUAUGUGUGUAGCUGAAUCACUUUACCACACAUCUGAAACUAAGAUAACAUUGGAAGUCAACUACGAUUCAAUAAAUUUUUAAUUUUUUUUUAAUUUCAUGGAGGAAACAAUUACAUUUAGAAUGGAUAAGCAAUGAGGUCCUGCUGUGCAGCACAGGGAACUAUAUCCAAUCACUUGUGAUAAAACAUGAUGGCAGAUAAUAUGAGAAAAUAUAUAUAUAUAUAUGUAUGACUGGGUCACUUUGCUGUAUAGCAGAAAUUUACAGAACACUGUAAAUCAACUAUAAUAAAAUUUUUAAGGGAAAAAAACUUCUUUAAUAAAAAGGAAAGCUAAAAAAUUUUUCAUGGAGGAGAAAUUGGGGUGGAGGGAAAUGUUUCAAAGGGCUCCAUGGGAGAAGGCAAAUGAAAAAAGAGGUGUAUGAAUGAGUACUGGGGGUCGGCAAAUACUGUGAAAUUGUAUAAAAUAGAUUUUCCCAGGGAGAAGGUCCACAGUUUCUGCCAGUUUCUCCAAAGGCUAUACAGCCAAAGGUGACAAACUUAACUAAGGUUUCUCAGCCUGCAUGGCCCUUCGCGCUACCCACAUACUAAAACAGUCACUGCCCAGGACACCAGCCAAGAGAUGGGCAGGGAAGUCAGAUUAGACUGGGGAUCCCGCUCUGGGCAGAAGCAGCCCCAGGGCCCGUUUCCUUGCCUGUAGCUGGGCAGCCGGCAGGUUGACAUCAGCGAUCAUUUCCGUGCAGGGAUGUUCCACCUGCAGGCGGGAUUCAGCUCCAAGAAGUGGAAGCUGCCAUCCUGGCUGUAGAGGUAUUCAACUGUCCCUGUGCUCACGUAGCCCACAGUCUUGGCCAGGCGCACAGCACACUGCAGAGAGAUGGACCGAAGGGUUUCCAGCAGUUUUCUCAGGGGUGGGGAGAAAGGGUACUAGUUCCCUCACCACAUGCAGGCUGAGGACCUGCCAUGCAGAAAUUAUUUUAAACCCAAGGCUGAAAUCAUCUCCACAAUGGGCACCCCCUGCCUGGUCUCUCCUGGGACACCUACUCUCCUGUGGCCACUCGGACGGUUGAGCGCUCUUACUGGCUCUGAGCAGAGACGCCUCCCCCCUGUAACUGUCCCCCACCUCCGCAGAACCCACCUGCUCCAUGAACUCAAACACGGCUGGCGUGGCGAUGGUGGCUGGCGCCUCCUCUAUGAUCUUCUGAUGCCUCCGCUGGAUGGAACAGUCACGCCCAAACAGGGACACGGCAUUCCCAUACUGGUCGGCGAGGAUCUGGACCUCCAGGUGAUGGGCGUGCUGGGCCAGCUUCAUGAGAAAGACCGGGGAGCCAGGGAUCUCGCUCUGCACCUGGGGGGGUGGCAGGGUGGCUGGCUCUUCCCUGGGGAACCAGGGCUGGAGCAGGAAGUUAUCCAAAGCAGGCACGAGAUGAUAGCAAUGAUGCCCAUGAUUUUCCUGACAUUUCGGUUUCACCUCUUUCAAAGACAUUACAUUCUAGUUGGUUUUAGGUCAAAUAUUAUGAAAAUAUAUAACAGAGAAAGUGAAAUUUUCCCACAACCAUCUCCUAGAGAAAAUGUGCUAUUAAGAGUUGGGUACAGAAGGGAAUUUCUGUUGUGGCUCAGCAGAUUAAGAACCUGACUAGUAUCCAUGAGGAUGCAGGUUCGAUCCCUGGCCUUGCUCUGUGGGUUAAGGAUCCAUCAUUGUCAAAAUCUGUGGCAUAGAUCAUGGCACUGCCAUGGCUGUGGUGUAGGCCAGCAGCUGCAGCUCCAAUUCCACCCCUAGCCUGGGAACUAUCAUAUGCCGCAGGUGUGGCCCUAAAAAAAAGAAACAGUUGGGUACAGGAGUUCCCUGGUGGUCUAGGGGUUAGGACUUGGUGCUUCCACCACUGCAGCCUGGGUUCAAUCCCUGGUCUGGGAACAGAGAACCCACAUCAAGGUUUGCUGCUGAAAGGAACAAACAAAAUAGAUUUUAAAAAAGAGUUGGAUACAAAAAAACCAACAAACAAAAGAGUUGGGUACAAAUUGGUUUUCCUUUAAGGUCUGCAUAGAAACAAUGUUUCUUUAAACAAAAACAAAACCAAAACACACUACUCUGUAGCCUUCUCCUCCUCCUACUUAAUUCCCUCUCUUAGCCAGCUUUCCUCAGUGGAAGCUACAGACCAACUCACUCCCUUCUUUUAAUAGCUGAAAGGCAUUGUCUUAUAGGCAUGCUGACCAGAGAUUCUUAAAGAUGAAGUAAAAAGAACUUUUCACAUGGAAUGAUUUCCAAGAUAAAUUUUUAAAAAGCAAGUUGCAAUAACAUAUGGGAUGAUCCCACUUAUGUGAAAAAUAAUGAAACAGAAUUAUAUGCAUGUCUAUGUAAAUGUAUAUACUACAGUAAAAGUACCAGAAAGAAAGCCAAUAGCUAACAGGGACUAUAGCUGAGAAGGGAGGAGGGGUUGAGAGGUGAUGUUGUGAAAAGCGACCUUUCCCUUUUAACUCUUAACAUAUCACUGAAUUGUCUGAAUGUUGACACAGAGAACAUUUUUUUUUCCAUACUGCACUCAUGCAGUUGAAAAAAAAAGCAAGCUUGGAGAAGUCCCUAGUAGCCUAGUGGUUAAAGGAUUCAGUGUUGUCACUACUGUGACAUGGGUUUGAUCCCUAGCGAGGGAACUUGUGCAUGCCAUGGGAGUGGCCCAAAACAGAAAAACAAAAAUUUAAAAAAAGCAAGCUUGGGGGAGGCUGUGC
rnacentral:lncRNA from 9 species